rnacentral:rRNA from 1 species
AACUCUUAACGGGGGAUCACUCGGCUCGUGGGUCGAUGAAGACCGCAGCAAACCUGCGUGUCGGUAUGUGAAUCGCAAGAAUACCAGAUACAUCGACAAGUUGAACGCAUAUUGCGGCGGCGGCAGCCAUAUGAGCUUGUCGCCGCCACUCCUCUACGAGGGUCG